rnacentral:tRNA from 1 species
AGUCAGGUAGCCUAGCGGUUAAGGCAGCCCAUUUGUGUUGGGUCCAGAUCCAUUGGAUCUGGUUGCUGGUUCAAAUCCAGCCCCAACCA